rnacentral:lncRNA from 1 species
AGGUGGCAAGGAGAGACAGGUAUCAUGGAGGAAACUUCAGAGAUCAUGCAGAUUUCAGUAGUAGAUUUCUUAUUCUGUUUGGCAGAAAUGUCUGCUUUGCAGAGUUGAUUCAAAGUGCUAUUGAAUUCUCCCUCAACCCCUGCCAGAACAUGAGAGCCACAUUGGCCGUGCUGGAGAAAGGCAUAAAAUGCCUUCUAUUCUAAGUACAUAUGGACCCCUGGCAACUGCAGAGGUAAUCAUUAACUCUGACUUCCCUUUGUUCUCCUGCCAGCUUGCUAAGUGCGUAACUGUGCUUGUGGCAGUCAGGGGGUUCUGACCCACUCAUACUAAAAGAUGUAGUGGAGAACGAAAGAGGUCAUGGACUAAGCCUCUCCAUGAAAUGGAGAGCAACACUUGUGCUGCAGCAACCUUGUAAUGUGAAAGAUCAUCCUGAGGACUUCAGGUGUGUGAAGACCCGUUUGAAGAAACAAAGGAAAGUGCCAGGUGUUGUUUUUGAGAUGGAAAUGCACUCAGCAGCAGGUAGAAGCCCAGACAUCCUUGUUCUACAGGGACGUGGAAUUCUGUGUGCUGACUUUGGGAGGAGUGCUGGACAAUGUGGGAAGAUCUCCAUCUUAACUCUGUAUGAGAGCAAGAGGGCAAAAAGAAUGAAAUGAAGCAGAAAAAGAAUCUCCUCUAACUCAGAAGUCACCUGAAUUGCAAGAGCUGCACUUCUGCUUUCACUCUGCCGUGGAUUUGCAUUGUCUGAUGCCAGAGACAGGAGUCCUGACACUCACCAGCCUGCCUUGGAGAAGAGUAGACAGUUUGUACCUCAGAAACCACUGGCCCUGAAAGAAUAGGAAUGUAGGAGUCAAGGGGAAAUAUCACAAGAGUGAUGGACUGUGAGGCUCCCAGGUUCCCUCUGCCAUUGCAGAGCUCUUCGACCUAUUGUAAUCGUCACCAGACAAAAUGA